ACCAACCAUCCUGAAGAAGCGCUAAGAUGUCUAUGAAACAAAAUCUCUCAACUGAAGUGAGUUGUUCGUACCUGCCCUUGAGUCAUCUUCACUAGAUAUUCGUGAACAAAGGAUUGAGCUCUGAUAAAAGCUCAAAUGAGAUAGAUUGUGACCUUAAGAAGGGGAUGCUGCUUCGCACGGGCCAAAGAUCUCUCUAGCCAUAGAGGCGUAACAACAAAUUUACCAAGGGCUAUGGCUUCCAACAUAUUCCUUGUCCGAG